UAGGGUGACUGUGAGCUUCCAGAGCUCGAAU
rnacentral:piRNA from 1 species